rnacentral:misc_RNA from 1 species
GAUGAAGAACGCAGCGAAAUGCGAUAAGUAAUGUGAAUUGCAGAAUUCAGUGUAUCAUCGAAUCUUUGAACGCACAUUGCGCCCGGCAGUACUCUGCCGGGCAUGCCUGUUCGAGCGUCAUUUCAACCCUCAAGCCCUGCUUGGUGUUGGGGCCCCACGGCUGCCGUGGGCCCUGAAAGGAAGUGGCGGGCUCGCUACAACUCCGAGCGUAGUAAUUCAUUAUCUCGCUUAGGGCGUUGGGCGGCGCUCCAGCCGUUAAAGAACCAUCUUUAACUCAAGGUUGACCUCGGAUCAGGUAGGAAUACCCGCUGAACUUAAGCAUAUCAAUAAGCGGAGGA